rnacentral:rRNA from 1 species
ACGGGUGAGUAAUACAUCGGAACGUAUCCUGGAGUGGGGGAUAGCCCGGCGAAAGCCGGAUUAAUACCGCAUACGCUCUGAGGAGGAAAGCGGGGGACCUUCGGGCCUCGCGCUCAAGGGGCGGCCGAUGGCGGAUUAGGUAGUUGGUGGGGUAAAGGCCUACCAAGCCGACGAUCCGUAGCUGGUCUGAGAGGACGACCAGCCACACUGGGACUGAGACACGGCCCAGACUCCUGCGGGAGGCAGCAGUGGGGAAUUUUGGACAAUGGGGGCAACCCUGAUCCAGCAAUGCCGCGUGUGUGAAGAAGGCCUUCGGGUUGUAAAGCACUUUUGUCCGGAAAGAAAUCAUCGGGGCCAAUACCCCUGGUGGAUGACGGUACCGGAAGAAUAAGCACCGGCUAACUACGUGCCAGCAGCCGCGGUAAUACGUAGGGUGCGAGCGUUAAUCGGAAUUACUGGGCGUAAAGCGUGCGCAGGCGGUGCUGUAAGACCGAUGUGAAAUCCCCGGGCUUAACCUGGGAACUGCAUUGGUGACUGCAGCGCUGGAGUAUGGCAGAGGGGGGUGGAACUCCACGU